GAUGAAGAACGUAGCGAAAUGCGAUACUUGGUGUGAAUUGCAGAAUCCCGUGAACCAUCGAGUCUUUGAACGCAAGUUGCGCCCGAAGCCACUAGGCCGAGGGCACGCCUGCCUGGGCGUCACACGCCGUUGCCCCCCCAUCUACUCCUUCGGGAUUGCGGGGGGGCGGAUGAUGGCCUCCCGUGCGCCUAGCCGCGCGGUUGGCAUAAAUACCAAGUCCUCGGCGACGCACGCCACGACAAUCGGGGGUUGCGAAACCUCGGUUGCCCGUCGUGUGCGUUCGUCGCGCAUCGAGGGCUCGAAAAAAUGCUCGGCUCCGGCUGGGCUUUCAACGCGACCCCAGGUCAGGCGGGGUUACCCGCUGAAUUUAAGCAUAUCAAUAAGCGGAGGA
rnacentral:misc_RNA from 1 species